GGAUUUGAGAACUGGCAUGAAGAUACCAUUGCUUCCCCCUGCUGUGGAUGCUUUGUCCUCAUCUGAAUGAAAGCGAAAAGAAAAAUCCAGCGGUCACACCUCAGGGCCACAGACAAACAGACAGUGCAGUUUCCCUUUAGAAUCCAUGACGGAGCGUCCCAGACUGAAGAUAGACUUCCACUUCUUUGACUUUCCAGAGAAUUUCCUUCUAAUGUUUUGUGAGAGUUUUAAAAAAUACAAUUAAUUUUUCUUUUCAUACAUAAAUAAACCAAGCAUUACUAAACCACUCUUUGUUUUAAACACUGGCUAUUGUAUAUUGUACAAUCCUAAUAUUUAUCGUCCUGAUGUUUGAAUACAUACCGGGCGCAUGUUUGUGAGUGUAUGAUGUGUAUUAUACCUGCUGUCAGACAGAUCUAUCACUGUAUGAUACAUAGCAGCAGUGCUGGGAUCUGGUAAGCUGUUCUCUCUCUGUCUCUCUCUCAUUGCCGGAUGAUUUGGACUGAGCGAGCGAGCUUGUGCUUCCUCGAGACUCAUCAGCUUCAUAGGACCGCACUGCAUGGUGGCGGGCAAGGUGGCGUAUUUCUCCCCACACGCCACACUGGGGCCUAUAAAAAAAACAUAAAAACAAUUUUGUGUUGAGAGCGAUUAUUGCCGAGAAUUCACAUGAUUUCUCAGAAGGUCUCUUAAUAGGGGAUAAAGGCCCCAUUAAAGAAAAUCUGAUUUUAUUUCUGGUCCCAACAUGAGAAAAAUAUGGUAAUCAUAAAAUGUAUUCCUCCUUAUUGAAUAUUUAUGGUGAUAAAUUAUUUGUGUAAAAUACAUUAAAAAAAAAACAGCGUGUUUGUUGUCCAGA